UCCAGUUGGUCGAUCGGAGCGCAGUCCCCGUCCUCAGUCUUCCUCGAACGGAGAGCACGGAGAGGUAUGCGUUCACUCCUCGUAAUAAAUGAAGUAUAAACAGACCAGGAGAUUUCAUUGGUGGUACCGGAUCGUUAUUUUUGAAGUCAGUGCUGCCCUUUACGCACGACCUCCCGGUGCUCGAACAGAGUCGUGGUUUCCUGUUGUUUUGUACGGGCGCCAAGAGGAGGCCAAAGACAGGUGCCUACUUCCCUGAUAAGACGCCAUGACAGUCUGUUCCUGCGUCUUACUUAAAAGGACAUUGCGACGGCGCAGCAGGAGGAUGACGCUCUACUGGACCCACCAGGAUGCCCCCUGAGCCUGCCUGCUGGAUCCCGUGACUCUUUGGGAAAACUGACACCACUGCCACAUGGGAAUAUGUAAGAUAUGGGGUGUGCACUGACAGAAGAGUUUUCUCGAGAAGCGUAUUGGGGAAGCGCUCAGUAGGGGUCACACGGCAGGACAACAUGCCCCCCACUGGAACAGAGCAGGUCGCCGGAGUGUGCGAGUUGACCUCGUCCAUCAGUGCCUGGAACUAAGGAAUCGAACCACCUCUGCCCCUGCUCAAAAAUUGACACCGCGUAGAAGUCAACUCGGUCUCAAAAUAAUCAAGGAAGAAGAAAAACUACUGGCAGCUGUCCCCCGUACGUGUAUCUCCUCUCAACGGGAAGCAGGCCGUAACGUCGUCAUCCAGGCGGGCGGGGUUUCAUGCUAAGACCCAGCGACGUGACCUACACACACCACCUGCAAAAUCGAGCAGCAGCAGUUCAUUGUGAUCCAUUCAAUCUGUCUUCGUUAGGUGCUGAGCAAAGUCUGAAAUCUGAAGAAAUUUCUUUUCCCGUAUAAUAUAUAUUAAAUAAACAUGCACAAGCAACAAACGCCUAAAGAUCGCCGCCUGUGGCUCCCCGCUCUGCCGUCAGGUUUUUUCAUCACACAAUCUCUCUAUUUUCCGUAUUGUAUUUGAAAAUUACCGCCAA